rnacentral:rRNA from 1 species
GUUGUGGGUGAGUGAGUGAUCCUGUACUGUCGAGAAAAGCUUCGUGAGCGAGGUGGUGUGUCCGCCCGUACCCUAAACCGACACUGGUGGAUAGGUAGAGUAUACUGAGGCGUUCGAGUGAAUCGUAGUGAAGGAACUCGGCAAAAUGCCCCCGUAACUUUGGGAUAAGGGGGACCUGAGCUGUCGUGCACUUGUGCGGUGUUGUGGCGGUGAGGGGCGCAGAGACCAGGGGGAAACGACUGUUUAUCAAAAACACAGG